GAUGAAGAACGUAGCGAAAUGCGAUAAGUAAUGUGAAUUGCAGAAUUCAGUGAAUCAUCGAAUCUUUGAACGCACAUUGCGCCCGUCAGUAUUCUGGCGGGCAUGCCUGUUCGAGCGUCAUUACGCCCCUCAAGUCCCCUGUGGACUUGGUGUUGGGGAUCGGCGAGGCUGGUUUUCCAGCACAGCCGUCCCUUAAAUUAAUUGGCGGUCUCGCCGUGGCCCUCCUCUGCGCAGUAGUAAAACACUGGCAACUGGAGCCCGGCGCGGUCCACUGCCGUAAAACCCCCCAACUUUUUAUAGUUGACCUCGAAUCAGGUAGGACUACCCGCUGAACUUAAGCAUAUCAAUAAGCGGAGGA
rnacentral:misc_RNA from 1 species